AUUGAACGCUGGCGGAAUGCUAUACACAUGCAAGUCGAACGGUAGAGGGGCAACCCUUGAGAGUGGCGAACGGGUGAGUAAUGUAUCGGAACAUGCCCAGUCGUGGGGGAUAACGUAGCGAAAGUUACGCUAAUACCGCAUACGAUCUAUGGAUGAAAGCGGGGGAUCGCAAGACCUCGCGCGAUUGGAGUGGCCGAUAUCAGAUUAGGUAGUUGGUGGGGUAAAGGCCUACCAAGCCGACGAGCUGUAGCUGGUUUGAGAGGACGACCAGCCCCACUCGGACCGAGACACGGCCCAGACUCAUACGGGAGGAAGCAGUGGGUAAUUUUGGACAAUGGGCGCAAGCCUGAUCCAGCCAUUCCGAGUGCAGGAAGAAGGCCUUCGGGUUGUAAACUGCUUUUGUACGGAACGAAACGCGCUGAGCUAAUACCUCGGCGUAAUGACGGUACCGUAAGAAUAAGCACCGGCUAACUACGUGCCAGCAGCCGCCGUAA
rnacentral:rRNA from 1 species